CUUUUUCAAAAUCGAAGAUCUAACAGUGCAACCUUUCCGCCUUCACUCCCUGGUUUCCCAUGAAGUGAGAGCAACCGUUGUCAAGAACAGAAGAAACUCGAUCAUCUUUCUUCCCAAAAGCUAAAACCCUAAGUCAGUGCUGCUGAUGCUUGGAUUGAAGACCUGGCAUAUAUUCCUGCUAUUGAUUUAGUUAAACACAAUCAUUGUUGCUGCUGCUCUGAAAGAGAAGAUGCUACUGUUGCUCAAAGUUAUUAUAGUAAUGACCAUUUACCGACGUCCAUAAUAGGUGAUGCUCUGUCUGCCCUCAACUUUGAUUGGCAGAAUAUACCAACUAAUUGGGUGUGUUCAGAUCCUUGUGGGGAUGGUUGGGAUGGGAUUAAGUGUUCUAGUUCUCGAGUGAUCUCCAUAACAAUAUUAAGCAGUGGACUGAAAGGUCAGUUUUCAGGAAACAUACAGUUCCUCUCUGAGUUGCAGACACUGAAGAGUCUUAUGGGGCAUAGUACUUGGUUCAUCCAAUAGGGCAGGCUUACAAAAAUGUUGUAGGUAGUCAUUUGGAGCCAGUGUUGAUGCUAAUGAAUACGACAAUGACAGUAUAAAGAUGCGAAGUCAUCCAGUAGGUCCUUUCGAAAGGCAAAGUCGUGAAGAACUAAAGAAGUCCAUAAUGGAGCUUAUAGUUCUAGUUUCAAACCAAAUUACACAUCAGCGUAGGUAAGAGCAACGAACCAAUAAGAAAGUUUGGAGGAAAGAGGUUGCUGCCAAGGGGAGCUUUGAUGAUGGAUUGGGCAUAGACAACCACU